rnacentral:rRNA from 1 species
GACGAACGCUGGCGGCGUGCUUAACACAUGCAAGUCGAACGGUAAGGCCCUUCGGGGUACACGAGUGGCGAACGGGUGAGUAACACGUGGGUGAUCUGCCCUGCACUUUGGGAUAAGCCUGGGAAACUGGGUCUAAUACCGAAUAGGAUCAUGGCCUUCAUGGGUUGUGGUGGAAAGCUUUUGCGGUGGGGGAUGGGCCCGCGGCCUAUCAGCUUGUUGGUGGGGUAAUGGACUACCAAGGCGACGACGGGUAGCCGGCCUGAGAGGGUGUCCGGCCACACUGGGACUGAGAUACGGCCCAGUCUCCUACAGGAGGCAGCAGUGGGGAAUAUUGCACAAUGGGCGCAAGCCUGAUGCAGCGACGCCGCGUGGGGGAUGACGGCCUUCGGGUUGUAAACCUCUUUCAGUAGGGACGAAGCGUAAGUGACGGUACCUACAGAAGAAGCACCGGCCAACUACGUGCCAGCAGCCGCGGUAA